rnacentral:rRNA from 1 species
UGACCUCGGAUCAGGUAGGAAUACCCGCUGAACUUAAGCAUAUCAAUAAGCGG